UAAACCCAACACUUGUAUCAUUUGACCAAUUCCUAUUAACGAUGGUGUAAUCUACUGUGUUUCUAAAAAUUCAAUUCGGUCUCCCUUUAUGCUUGUGAUUUUGUCGAUUGAUUUUGUUCAAUCUGUGUAGCUGAAGAAGUUUAAUGAGAGUUUGUGUUGCCAACAAAUGUUGUUAUUAGUCUAUACAAGUCAUGAUCAUCAUUCUUGAUAUUAGUGAGAGAUAAGUUUUUGUUUCAUUUACUAACCAGUAAAUCUGUUGCUGAACUUGAUUUUUUAUUUUUUCCCCCCUCACAGAUUCAGGCGCACCUGAUGAGGAAGCAGUUGUAAUCUGCCUUCUGGGAUUGUUUAGUGUGCUGCCGUGAUCCUCCUGGCCAUGUCUUUGAGAACUUCCUCACGCAUCUCCAUGGUGAAGAACAUCAACAGAUGGUGUCCGACUUAUUGCCUUUGAAUAACAAUAAUGCUGUUCAACGUCUGCCUCCCAUUGAUGAAAAUCCAGUGAAAGGAACUCUCAUGUCAGACGUGGGAUUGGUUCCCUCCGGUUGCAGCACCAUGUCCUGAUCUGCUUGUUUAUGUAUUGUUUGGCUUGGUAGAAUGUUAUUCGGAACUUUGUGAAGCUUUCUUGUGGCUUGGAAUUGAAUUUGAUGGUUGUAGGAACGAAGAUUCGGCGAAAAGCUUCGAGAAAAAACGAUGCUCGGCAUGUGCAUCGGUCGAUGCAAAUGCGAGGACGACGCAUAUGAC